GGGCGCAAGCCUGAUGCAGCCAUGCCGCGUGUGUGAAGAAGGCCUUCGGGUUGUAAAGCACUUUCAGCGGGGAGGAAGGCGAUGAGGUUAAUAACCUUGUCGAUUGACGUUACCCGCAGAAGAAGCACCGGCUAACUCCGUGCCAGCAGCCGCGGUAAUACGGAGGGUGCAAGCGUUAAUCGGAAUUACUGGGCGUAAAGCGCACGCAGGCGGUCUGUCAAGUCGGAUGUGAAAUCCCCGGGCUCAACCUGGGAACUGCAUUCGAAACUGGCAGGCUAGAGUCUUGUAGAGGGGGGUAGAAUUCCAGGUGUAGCGGUGAAAUGCGUAGAGAUCUGGAGGAAUACC
rnacentral:rRNA from 1 species